rnacentral:rRNA from 1 species
UACAGAGGGGCAAGCGUUGUUCGGAAUUACUGGGCGUAAAGGGCGCGUAGGCGGCCUUCUAAGUCGAACGUGAAAUCCCCGGGCUCAACCCGGGAACUGCGUCCGAUACUGGGAGGCUAGAGUGCGGGAGAGGGAUGCGGAAUUCCUGGUGUAGCGGUGAAAUGCGUAGAUAUCAGGAGGAACACCGGUGGCGAAGGCGGCCCUCUGGACGGUGACUGACGCCUGAGACGCGAAAGCGUGGGGAGCAAACAGG